AUUAAACGCUGGCGGCAUGCCUUACACAUGCAAGUCGAACGGCAGCACGGGGGCAACCCUGGUGGCGAGUGGCGGACGGGUGAGUAAUACAUCGGAACGUGCCCUGGAGUGGGGGGAUAACGCAGCGAAAGCUACGCUAAUACCGCAUAUUCUGUGAGCAGGAAAGCAGGGGAUCGCAAGACCUUGCGCUUUGGGAGCGGCCGAUGUCGGAUUAGCUAGUUGGUGGGGUAAAGGCCUACCAAGGCGACGAUCCGUAGCGGGUCUGAGAGGAUGAUCCGCCACACUGGGACUGAGACACGGCCCAGACUCCUACGGGAGGCAGCAGUGGGGAAUUUUGGACAAUGGGCGGAAGCCUGAUCCAGCCAUGCCGCGUGAGUGAAG
rnacentral:rRNA from 1 species